GACGAACGCUGGCGGCGUGCUUAACACAUGCAAGUCGAACGGAAAGGCCCUGCUUUUGUGGGGUGCUCGAGUGGCGAACGGGUGAGUAACACGUGAGUAACCUGCCCUUGACUUUGGGAUAACUUCAGGAAACUGGGGCUAAUACCGGAUAGGAGCUCCUGCUGCAUGGUGGGGGUUGGAAAGUUUCGGCGGUUGGGGAUGGACUCGCGGCUUAUCAGCUUGUUGGUGGGGUAGUGGCUUACCAAGGCUUUGACGGGUAGCCGGCCUGAGAGGGUGACCGGCCACAUUGGGACUGAGAUACGGCCCAGACUCCUACGGGAGGCAGCAGUGGGGAAUGUUGCACAAUGGGCGGAAGCCUGAUGCAGCAACGCCGCGUGCGGGAUGACGGCCUUCGGGUUGUAAACCGCUUUCGCCUGUGACGAAGCGUGAGUGACGGUAAUGGGUAAAGAAGCACCGGCUAACUACGUGCCAGCAGCCGCGGUGAUACGUAGGGUGCGAGCGUUGUCCGGAUUUAUUGGGCGUAAAGGGCUCGUAGGUGGUUGAUCGCGUCGGAAGUGUAAUCUUGGGGCUUAACCCUGAGCGUGCUUUCGAUACGGGUUGACUUGAGGAAGGUAGGGGAGAAUGGAUUCCUGGUGGAGCGGUGGAAUGCGCAGAUAUCAGGGGGAACACCAGUGGCGAAGGCGGUUCUCUGGGCCUUUUCCUGACGCUGAGGAGCGAAAGCGUGGGGAGCGAACAGGCUUAGAUACCCUGGUAGUCCACGCUGUAAACGGUGGGUACUAGGUGUGGGGUCCAUUCCACGGGUUCCGUGCCGUAGCUAACGCUUUAAGUACCCCGCCUGGGGAAUACGGCCGCAAGGCUAAAACUCAAAGGAAUUGACGGGGCCCCGCACAAGCGGCGGAGCAUGCGGAUUAAUUCGAUGCAACGCGUAGAACCUUACCCGGGUUUGACAUGGAUCGGGAGCGCUCAGAGAUGGGUGUGCCUCUUUUGGGGUCGGUUCACAGGUGGUGCAUGGCCGUCGUCAGCUCGUGUCGUGAGAUGUUGGGUUAAGUCCCGCAACGAGCGCAACCCUUGUUCACUGUUGCCAGCACGUUAUGGUGGGGACUCAGUGGAGACCGCCGGGGUCAACUCGGAGGAAGGUGGGGAUGACGUCAAGUCAUCAUGCCCCUUAUGUCCAGGGCUUCACGCAUGCUACAAUGGCUGGUACAGAGAGUGGCGAGCCUGUGAGGGUGAGCGAAUCUCGGAAAGCCGGUCUCAGUUCGGAUUGGGGUCUGCAACUCGACCUCAUGAAGUCGGAGUCGCUAGUAAUCGCAGAUCAGCAACGCUGCGGUGAAUACGUUCCCGGG
rnacentral:rRNA from 1 species